UACGUAGGGUGCAAGCGUUGUCCGGAUUUAUUGGGCGUAAAGAGCUCGUAGGCGGUUUGUCGCGUCGGAUGUGAAAACCCAGGGCUCAACCCUGGGCCUGCAUUCGAUACGGGCAAACUAGAGUAUGGCAGGGGAGACUGGAAUUCCUGGUGUAGCGGUGAAAUGCGCAGAUAUCAGGAGGAACACCGGUGGCGAAGGCGGGUCUCUGGGCCGAUACUGACGCUGAGGAGCGAAAGCGUGGGGAGCAAACAGG
rnacentral:rRNA from 1 species